ACGGGAGGCAGCAGUGGGGAAUAUUGGGCAAUGGGCGCAAGCCUGACCCAGCAACGCCGCGUGAAGGAUGAAGGUCUUCGGAUUGUAAACUUCUUUAAUCGGGGAAGAAAAAAAUGACCUACCCGAAGAAUAAGCCACGGCUAACUACGUGCCAGCAGCUGCGGUAAUACGUAGGGAGCGAGCGUUAUCCGGAAUUACUGGGUGUAAAGGGAGUGUAGGCGGGACUGUAAGUCAGAUGUGAAAUAUGCCGGCUCAACUGGCAGACUGCAUUUGAAACUGCGGUUCUUGAGUGAAGUAGAGGUAAGCGGAAUUCCUAGUGUAGCGGUGAAAUGCGUAGAUAUUAGGAGGAACAUCAGUGGCGAAGGCGGCUUACUGGGCUUUAACUGACGCUGAGGCUCGAAAGCGUGGGGAGCAAACAGGAUUAGAUACCCUGGUA
rnacentral:rRNA from 1 species